AAUGAGCCUUUUUAUGAUACAUUAAAGUUCACAACUCCUAGAUGGUGAUGAGCAUUAAGCCAGUUUGUUUCCUUCUGUAAGCUUUAAGAAAUACAACACUGAGACAGACUUCCUCUACUGUCCAUUGAUUUAGAGGUGUUUAAUAUUUUCUUCUUCUCUCCUAGAAUAUGUGGAAGUUAUUUCACUUCCAAAGAUUGACUUACUGCAAAGAAUUGAUGAGCUAGUAGCAGAAGAGCAUAUUGCAGUGGAUGCCAGGGUUUAUACUUAUGCACUGGCCCUGAAGCGUGCAACAGAGAAACCGCUCCAAGUUCCUUUCAUGAAGUUCUAAAAUUUCACAAUGACAAAUGUAGUUGAAAAUUGUCCAGUCUAGAUGGCUUAGAAUGUAACUCUUCUUGUUAUAAAGGUCCUUUACUUUACAUGCAGAAUAAAAAAACACUUUGUUGGAAUAAUUCUGAUAUUUUUACCUGGAAUUAUGUAACUGACAAAAAGUAUUUCUCCUAACUGUUUAAUCUAUCAAGCCUUUAGAGAAUAAUCAUAAUAAAAAUACUGUUUAAUUUUCAAAA